AUAUAUUUUACUCUUCCUGGAAUAUUGCUGACUUUGACUCAAUAAUGCACUAUAGAGCAAACCAGAAAUUGCAUCAGUUAAUGCUUGAAGAACAUACCUCUGUGUUCUCUUCUGGUGCAGCCAAAGUCAUAUGAAUGAGUAAGAACUGCUUCAAGGAAGGAGAAAGACUCGUGUUCUAGCUCAAGUUACCUCUGCAUUGAAAAUAACCCUCCCCGGCAGAAAAAUUGCAGAGAUUGUCAUGUAAAUUCAAUUAAC